GAUGAACGCUGGCGGCGUGCCUAAUACAUGCAAGUCGAGCGAACAGACGAGGAGCUUGCUCCUCUGACGUUAGCGGCGGACGGGUGAGUAACACGUGGAUAACCUACCUAUAAGACUGGGAUAACUUCGGGAAACCGGAGCUAAUACCGGAUAAUAUAUUGAACCUCAUGGUUCAAUAGUGAAAGACGGUUUUGCUGUCACUUAUAGAUUGAUCCGCGCCGCAUUAGCUAGUUGGUAAGGUAACGGCUUACCAAGGCAACGAUGCGUAGCCGACCUGAGAGGGUGAUCGGCCACACUGGAACUGAGACACGGUCCAGACUCCUACGGGAGGCAGCAGUAGGGAAUCUUCCGCAAUGGGCGAAAGCCUGACGGAGCAACGCCGCGUGAGUGAUGAAGGUCUUCGGAUCGUAAAACUCUGUUAUUAGGGAAGAACAAAUGUGUAAGUAACUAUGCACGUCUUGACGGUACCUAAUCAGAAAGCCACGGCUAACUACGUG
rnacentral:rRNA from 1 species